GAGAGGCUGAGGAGUACGUACCAAGGGACAGUUUGUGAGACUCUGGUAGGUCCGUGACUGAGGGCACCCUUGUGGGAUGCUGAGUGUAGCCAUCAGGAAGCUGGGUCCCAGCCAACUCAGCCUGGGCUCUGCCGUUCUCCAGUGGUCAGAUAAGAAAGAGCGGUGUGGUCCUCUAAGGGAGUGAGCGAGGCCUUUUGAGAAGGUGAAUCAGCGUGUGUUAGCUCAGGGCAGAGGGCCUGGCGGUGAGACGUGAGAACAGCCAAUGUCAUGGCGGUGGGGGAGUGGACGUGAGCCAUCUGGGGCCCAGCAAACAGCAUGUUGAAAAAAACGAGGAACUCAAAGGCAGAUGAGCCUACCACGCUGGGAACAGUUGGGAGUACAUUGCUCAAGCCCCGGCCAGUUUUAUGUCACUGCUGGUGUGAAGCAGUGAACAGUGACCCAGCAUGCAUCCAGGUGGCGGGACAGAGUCAGACUCUCCAGGGCAGAGAGACUCUAAAACUGACGGCCAGGUCUUGCUCAGACUACGGGCCUGAGGGAAGAUCCAAGACUGAAACAGGUGCCGGAGAUUACAUCCAGGUUGCUGGUCUUGGUGGUGAACAAUACCCUUGCUUACCCCCAAGCCUUCUCACUAACCCUGACGCUCUUUAUACAGGGCUUGGAAUGGAGGGGGUGGAGUUGAGGAGAUCACAGAGGACCUAGGAGUGUGUGUAUCGGAGAGAGAUAGGAAACCACUGACCGUUCAGCACACAUUCAGAAUUACUGCCUGUCCCAGGGAGGGACCCACAGCUCCGGCGCUCCGUUCAGCAUCUGGAAGAGCAUAGCUCGCUGUGAGCGGCCGCCCCAGAAGACUGUAUCCCACCCAGCCAGCUCUCCUGCCUGCUUGCCUCUGCCCCACACCAGGACACUUCAUACUGUCAGAACCACUGGGUGUGUGAGCUUGUGAGAGGGUGUGUGGGCACACAUGUCCCUGUGUGGGGUGUGGAGGUCAGAGGGCAACUUGGAGGAAUUGGUUCUCUCCUUCCACCACUGGGGCCCAGGAAUCAAGCCGAGGUUCCCAGACGUGGUAGCAGCCUCCCUUACCUGUUAAACCAGUGCUUCCCAGACUUCCUAAUGCUGUGACCUCAUGCUGUGCUGACCCCCGCCCAUGACAUUAUCUCUGUUGGUAUUUUAUAACUGUAAUUUUGCUACUAUUAUGAAUCACAA
rnacentral:lncRNA from 1 species